GCAAGAUUUAACAAGCAGCAUGUUACUUCAGCCUCAUCAGUGACAGCUGAUGUACUUGAAGGCCAAUGGAGAAGUGACAGAACUUUGAGCAAGAUUUAACAAGCUGCACUUUACUUCAGCCUCAUCAGUGACAGAUGUACUUGAAGGCCAGCCUAGAGGAAGUGACAGAACCAACCUUGAGCAAGAUGUAACGCAUGUUAAUUCAGCCUCUCCAGUGGUUGGUGUACAAGAAAUGAAACCAAGACGGCCAUAUGACCACAGGGUGUUCCCACAACUGUACUGUCUUCCAGCCCACACCUUCAAGAGUACCACCUUAAGCAUGAACUUUUUUCUACAAUUGAGAAAAUUUUUAAAGUACAGUAAAGUAAUAUAUUUAAGAAUGUAUAAGUAAGCCUCGAGUCAAGCCACAUAGAUUAAGAAAAAGUUGAAUAUAUUAUGUAAUGGUUGGCACUUGUAUUGAGAUUAGGAUGAGUUGGCUCUCAUUAUACAAUAUCUAUACAUAAUCAAAUAAACACUGAAUAAAUU